GCUUGGUUGUUUCAUGAUUCCUUAAAAAAGAAAAGUACAGUAAGAAUGACGACAAAUUAAAAUUUAUUUAAUAUAGUUUCCAUUCAUGACGAGUUUCAGUUUGGAAUCUAGUAACUCCUACAUUCUUCUCGGAUUUAACUGUGUUAUUUCAGAUCCAUCAUAUGUAGCAUUUUGUAUCUACUCUACCUCCCAAAUUGAGAUCUGGUAGAAAUUGGACAUAUUUUGCAGUCGUUUGGAAUUCUUAUAAUAUUGCUGCUCCUUUCGGUUAUUUUUUUUCUUUUUAUGGAGAUGUUUUUCGUUUGACUACUUCCUGGACAAUCUUCUUUCUUAUUACCUUAACGACUUGUUUUGCAAGAGUACUACAUGAACACUUCAUUGACAGCCAAAAUAUUAGGUAAAGUUUUACGGAUAUCAUGAUUUGUUUUACAGUUACAGAUGACAUAGGAUAUAUUUCACUGGUCAUUACCAUUUUUCUGUAUUUUAGCUUAUAUUGCUUUCUGUUCCUUUUUUGCGGUUUUCUUUUUUUACCUUUUAACUAAGGUGGAUCAACUUAUUUCUGUAAACUGUCCUCUUGGCAACACUCGUGAUUUUGACUUAAGAGAAAUCUGUGCCUUGUCAUUUCCGUAUGAUUGGUAGAAAAAAAGAAAUAAAAAUAUACCAAACUCCAAGGAAUAUCCAAAACGGAAAAUUAUCUCAGCUCAAUCACAUCAAACGAACGGAAAACAACUGUCAUAUCUUUGACUUAGUACGGUCAUUUCCUUGUGUAGAAAAUCGUUGACCUUUCAUAGCUAGCUAAACCUGUCACAUAGAAUUCCGUUAUAUUUAC
rnacentral:lncRNA from 1 species